rnacentral:lncRNA from 1 species
UUCCAUGGACAGAGGAGCCUGGCAGGUUACAGUCCAUGGGGUCACAAAGAUUCAGACACAAUUGAGCACUAACUAACUAACUAACUAAAACUUUGGACAGAAGAUCUCUUCCUCCCCACAUUUCCUACCCUCCACCGCUUCUCUCUUCCCAUAAAUGUUACCAUCACAUGGAAUGCAGUGAAUCCAUGGCAGUAAUCCAUCUGAGAAAUAGCAAGGGACUGAAUAAAGGCAGUGAAGAUGGGGAGAGAAGGAGGUGACAAAGUCAGGAAACAGCAGAAAGGUGGAACCCCUAGGGUGUAGUGAUGAAUGGGAAUUAAGAGAUUCAGGAAGAUGGAGGGGGUCACAGAUAACACAUAAGCUUCUGAUUUGAAUUCCAAGACAACAGAGCUGCAAAGUCAUCUGGGAUGACUUCCAAAGUCCAGGGAUCAAGGAGGUAAAACAUAUUAGUAAAACUUUUGAGUAGGGAUGGGGUGGCCUUACUGGUGGUCCUAUGGUUGAGACUCCCAGAGAUUUGAUCUCUGGUCAGGGAACUAGAUCCUGUGUGCUGCAACUAAGAUCCAGGACAGCUAAAAAAAUUAAUAAAUAAAAAGGUGAGAGGCCAGAAUGGUGAAAAUGAUGGGAGAGAAGAGAAGGUACAUAAAGGGAGCAGCCCCACCUUGUUCCAACCAGUUGCUGCCGUUGUAGAACAAAAACCAGUGCCUUCUAUACCUUCCAGUUUUCAAGACAACCCCCAAAAUCUUAGUUUUCCUACAAAAAGUCUGAACUUAAAAUCAGGAAAAUUAAUUUUUAAUAAGUUGUUCAUUUUUAUUUUAAAAUGUGGAUUUUUAAAAAAUUUAGAAAUACCAUACCAAUAAAAUAAAAUCUAGGUGAGGAGGUGUCUAGAUAUACCUCAGAGUUUCCAGUUUUGAGCCUCCACAAUAGAUGGUGCUGCAACCUACCAAGACAAGAAAGCUUUCUCUCUCUAAAUGAUGGAUCCCAGAUACCUCUAAUUCUUCUCUUCUGCCUCUAAGACUGCUUGCAAGCUUGAGAUCUUACUACUCUGUGAUUGUUGUCAUGGUCCCGAGCAGCACCAGCUCCCUACACUCUUCAUCUGUGUGCAAUUCUGUUGCUUUAGGAUGAGCCAUUCCCUCUCCUUUUUCUCUUCUUAUUAGACUUCUCUCCUGAGAUAACAUAAUCUAGGAUGUGAUUUGACAUUUAUCUUGUUAAGAUGAACAAUGAAUAAUUUGGAUGCCAAUCAAGUGUAGAAAAAGUCCACAUUUUUCAAAUUAGUCAAGUAACUGUCAAAUCACUUCAUUUUACUUUUCAGAUAUAGUUCAAGCUAUGAG